UUUUCGCCAAUAUCCAAGUGCCCAGCCGGUUAGCCACGCGCUUCUUUGUGAAAAUUUAAGCAAAAAGAGAACAAAGAUAGUCAUAUUAACUAGAAUAAACCGUGGAAAUUAAAGGGGAAUAUUUGUGCGUUUUUCUUUUGCAAACGUUUACGAAUUAAGAAUUGCACAAAUUUGGAUUGGAAGGUGGCAAAUUAAUGCAGUAAAUUGAAACGAAGUAACAAAAAAUAAGUGUGAGACAUCAUCCCAAUUACAUAUAAAAUAACACCGAGAUCAUAGCAACACUCAAAAGACGAAUAAGCAACAAAGAAAAAAAGCGAAGUCAGUGGAAGUAAAGAAAUAAAGAGGAAAAAAAGAGACAAAUCAAUCAUUGACAGGCAACGAACGGAACGAAUCGAUAGCAACCAGACGAACAAAAAACGUUUUGCAUUUAAAGGAUUUAUAAGUAUUGCAGAGCAAAAAGGAUUAUAACAACGUGCAUUGAAAAGACGUUCGUUUCGCAGUUAAUUUUCCAUUGAGUCAACGAUUGGAGUCCAGUGCAAAAACAAGUGUUAUCAUGAUGCAUCCACAAAUAACUAUGCAGUUGAUACAAAUCUUGGAAAAGACUGUUUCACCAG
rnacentral:sRNA from 1 species